rnacentral:rRNA from 1 species
GAUGAACGCUGGCGGCGUGCCUAACACAUGCAAGUCGAACGGACAUUUUUUGGAAAGCUCUUCGGAACUGGAAUCUAAAUGUUAGUGGCGGACGGGUGAGUAACGCGUGAGCAAUCUGCCUUUCAGAGGGGGAUAACAGCCGGAAACGGCUGCUAAUACCGCAUAAUGCAUUGGAUUCGCAUGUUUCUGAUGCCAAAGAUUUUAUCGCUGAAAGAUGAGCUCGCGUCUGAUUUGCUAGUUGGCGGGGUAACGGCCCACCAAGGCGACGAUCAGUAGCCGGACUGAGAGGUUGAACGGCCACAUUGGGACUGAGACACGGCCCAGACUCCUACGGGAGGCAGCAGUGGGGAAUAUUGCGCAAUGGGGGCAACCCUGACGCAGCAACGCCGCGUGAUUGAUGAAGGUCUUCGGAUUGUAAAAAUCUUUAAUCAGGGACGAAGAAAAUGACGGUACCUGAAGAAUAAGCUCCGGCUAACUACGUGCCAGCAGCCGCGGUAAUACGUAGGGAGCAAGCGUUAUCCGGAUUUACUGGGUGUAAAGGGCGUGUAGGCGGGCUUGCAAGUUGGAAGUGAAAUCUCGGGGCUUAACCCCGAAACUGCUUUCAAAACUGCGAGUCUUGAGUGAUGGAGAGGCAGGCGGAAUUCCCAGUGUAGCGGUGAAAUGCGUAGAUAUUGGGAGGAACACCAGUGGCGAAGGCGGCCUGCUGGACAUUAACUGACGCUGAGGCGCGAAAGCGUGGGGAGCAAACAGG